rnacentral:rRNA from 1 species
CCUACGGGAGGCAGCAGUAGGGAAUCUUCCACAAUGGACGAAAGUCUGAUGGAGCAACGCCGCGUGAGUGAAGAAGGGUUUCGGCUCGUAAAGCUCUGUUGGUAGUGAAGAAAGAUAGAGGUAGUAACUGGCCUUUAUUUGACGGUAAUUACUUAGAAAGUCACGGCUAACUACGUGCCAGCAGCCGCGGUAAUACGUAGGUGGCAAGCGUUGUCCGGAUUUAUUGGGCGUAAAGCGAGUGCAAGCGGUUCAAUAAGUCUGAUGUGAAAGCCUUCGGCUCAACCGGAGAAUUGCAUCAGAAACUGUUGAACUGGAGUGCAGAAGAGGAGAGUGGAACUCCAUGUGUAGCGGUGGAAUGCGUAGAUAUAUGGAAGAACACCAGUGGCGAAGGCGGCUCUCUGGUCUGCAACUGACGCUGAGGCUCGAAAGCAUGGGUAGCGAACAGGAUUAGAUACCCCUGUAGUC